rnacentral:rRNA from 1 species
UACGAAGGGGGCUAGUGUUGCUCGGAAUCACUGGGCGUAAAGCGCACGUAGGCGGACUCUUAAGUCAGGGGUGAAAUCCUGGAGCUCAACUCCAGAACUGCCUUUGAUACUGGGAGUCUUGAGUUCGGGAGAGGUGAGUGGAACUGCGAGUGUAGAGGUGAAAUUCGUAGAUAUUCGCAAGAACACCAGUGGCGAAGGCGGCUCACUGGCCCGAUACUGACGCUGAGGUGCGAAAGCGUGGGGAGCAAACAGG